rnacentral:rRNA from 1 species
GAUGAACGCUAGCGGCAGGCUUAAUACAUGCAGGUCGAACGGUAACAGGCCCUUCGGGGUGCUGACGAGUGGCGGACGGGUGAGUAAUGCUUAGGAAUCUGCCUAGUAGUGGGGGAUAACCCGGGGAAACUCGGGCUAAUACCGCAUACGCCCUACGGGGAAAGGACGGGGGACGUUUCGGGUCCGUCGCGCUAUUAGUAUGAGCCUAA